UCAAUGCUUUCACGUGUUCUUUAUAUGCAGCUACAAUUAACGUAUCGUUGUCGUGUUGUCGAUUGAUUUAUGAUUCAGGACUGGAUAUUUUAUCAAGAAGAAGAGAGACUAGUCCAUAAACUGUCUCAAUAAAACUGAUUCAUUACUGUACGUGGAAACAGAAACUUUUAUUGAAAAGAUAAAACUUAUCGAGACGUUAUCGUGUCUGCAGAUAAACAUAUAUACAUAUACAGAGAUUAUGAUCAAUUCCGGGCGUAAUUGUACAAUCUUUGACGUACAAGAAACAAUUCAAAAAUGGCUACAACAUGCAAGUGAUCGAGUUCGUUAUAUAGAAAAAAAACACGCUCAAAUAUAAUUUUAAA